UAUCUCUCCAUACGGGGAAGGAUGAGAAGCUUCGACUAAGGUUCGAUUCGAGCGCAGCGAGAAAGCGUUGCCGCAGGCAACGACCCGAAGGGUGAGGAGCGGAGCGACGAAUAAUCCUUCCCUCACCACCA
rnacentral:sRNA from 1 species